UACAGAGGGGGCAAGCGUUGUUCGGAAUUACUGGGCGUAAAGGGCGCGUAGGCGGCCUGUUAAGUCGAACGUGAAAUCCCCGGGCUCAACCCGGGAACUGCGUCCGAUACUGGCAGGCUUGAAUUCGGGAGAGGGAUGUGGAAUUCCAGGUGUAGCGGUGAAAUGCGUAGAUAUCUGGAGGAACACCGGUGGCGAAGGCAGCUCGCUGGGACGGUACUGACACUGAGGCGCGAAAGCGUGGGGAGCGAACAGGG
rnacentral:rRNA from 1 species